AUAGAAUCAAGGUGUAGCCUGGAGGUGCAUCUCUCUGUCCAUCUUAAAUCUAAAGGAGGAUCAAAGGAGGACAAUCAUCUCAGGGUCCUAUAGGGAUCAUCAGAUGUUUUAGGCUCAGAGUCAUGAGGAUGUAAGGGAGAAAAGGAAUUUCACUGUUGCCCUGGUUUCUGGGGGUACAAUGCCCAUGUCACUUGGUUUCCUCAUCUGUAAAACUAUGGACAUCAUCACAAAAUGAGAAAUGCUCUGACCUAUCGCUCUAGUUAGAAAUGAUCCUUUCAAGCAUUUGAAGCUUAGUUUCCAAGCCUCCAUCUGCAGGAGGAACAUCAGGAAACUCUCCAGGCCAAUUCAGAUCAGUGGGUCUGCCCUGUUCCUAAAAACCUCUAGGCAAAGUCAUUGCACAAACUGUACUAUUCCAUUGCUAAUCAAUGCCCAUCAUCAGUGAUUCUUCCUUACAGCUCAAACUGUAACAAUAGCCUCCUUUCCAAGCUGACUUGAUUGCUGCCCUCUCCUAAGAAGAGCUGACCAGCAAUUCCACCAGUUUAUACAGAGAGACAUCUUUUGCAGUGCAGAAUCCUCCUAUGAUGGCCAUGAAGACCUCUACAAACUAUCCUAUUCUGGAACUUGGAUCUCCAAGACACUAGAAAGAGGGAAGAAGGACAAGGUUUGGGGUUGGGUUUUGGUUGCAGGCAUACAAAAUAGGGUCAGUGCAUCUCACUUUGCAUCCUCACUGAUGAUAGUAUGGUGGUCACUGGGGGAGCUGAAAAAGCUCAAGGAAGCUAUGGAUUGAUGAAGUUUUCUUUUUAAACCUUCUUUGGUGUGCUAGAUGUCCUAUGCCAUAGAGGCAGCUGAAGUUGCUUUAUCAUUGAGGCAUAAUUUCUGUUUUGGAGAGUUUUGAAAGAUUAUGGGAAUAGAGGAAAUGUUCAGUCCUCCAUCUUAUUGGUCAUGUGACCCACUUCCUUGCAUUUGAGGGAAGGUUUUAUUAAUGAUCUUUUUUGCAUAUCAUUACCCAUAAUCCCAUUUCCUUUCAAAUAAAAGCCCUCCUUUGUAACAAAAAUAUAUAGUCAACUGAAAUAAAUAACACUGUAGUAAUAUCUGAAAAUGCAUAUCUCAUUCUGUACCUCUCUUCCAUUGAUAUGGAAGACAUGUUUAUCACUCAUCUUCUGAAGUCCCAAUUGGUCUUUUAGUGUUUGGGCAACUUCCUGAUGAAAGGGACUAUCUAAAUUUGACUUUGGAUAGAGGGAUACCCUCUCCCCUCUCCUCUCUUCCAGUAAAUAAAAAGGUACUAAAUAACUCCUAUGUUCCAGGCACUGUGCUAGGUUCUGGGGGGUAUAAAUAAUAAAAGGGUCAUCCUUACCUUCAAUUAGCUUACACUGUCAUGGGAGAAGACAACACACGAAAGAAAGCUGGGAAGGGGUGGAGAGAAGAUAUCAAGGGAUACCUGGUACAGAGGCAUCUUAUUUCAUAGAGUUGAAACUAAUCAGAAUUGUGGAUGGAGAGUGGAGUGAGCUGGAAGUCCAGUUUCUGCCCUCCAUAAAAGAAGGCUUUGGACAUUUAGUGCUCUACCUUCCAGCACUCCAAGCAGAGGGCAGAGGAGGCUGAGGGAGGGAGGAAGGUCAAAGGUGGAGGAAGGUGUUGGUAACUGUAUUUCCAUGUAAUUGGUUUCCUUUGUAAUGCCAUGUAUUUUAUUUGAUACAUGUAAAAACAUUAUUCAGAAGAUUCCAGAGGUUUCACUGGACUACCUAAGCAGUCCAGGACACAAAAAGAUGAAGAACUCAAGGCAUUUAGCCUUAUUGGAGCAGGCUCCUCUAGGUGCUGCCUCUACUUUCUCUCCUAUCUUUGAAGCAAGUUAGGUCCUUUUAUAGCCUACAAGAAUGCUUUGGAGUCACGAGGGUAUUAUUUAGUGAUUUAUCCAAACAAAUUUAUCCCAAUGGCCUGAAAGAGUUAACGAAGUAUCUUAAUUUAUUCCCAAGGGUCAACAUUUAUGCACAGGUUCAACUAGUGAAUCCCGACUGACCUUCCAUUCUCUUUAGGACUCUUGAACUUGGCUGCGUUUAAACAAAUUUAUUUUCAGUGCUGGCAGAGUUCACUCUUUUCACUGAGUAAAAGAAAAAUCUGCAGACAAUGGUUUCCAUGCUUUAGUAGGAUGACUUCUAAACUAUUCCUGUUUGGAGGGCUUACGGAGUCAUCUACCCUUAUGUUCAGCUAGUGGUAUGCCAGUUUUCUGGAAACAUCUCACGGAGAAAGGUUCCUGAUCUUGCGCUGAUAGAAACAAAACUGUACUGUUAGAGUUUCUAGCCUAGAGAACUUGAAGAUACCACGUAGCAUCGAAUGCUUCCGAUCCUUUCCAAUGCCAAAAGCCAGAAAUCUAUCUUGGAUUUCUACUGACACAUCUGAACUCUUCUAUCUCAUUUGCUUUGAUAACUAAGGAAUUAUGGUAAAUGCCUCCAGAAGGAAUAGCUGUUAUUUCUGGAACUUAGGGUUUUGUUUUUGUUUUUCCACUAACCCAUGGAGGCAGACUAGUUCAUUUGGGAGAGGAAAAAGCUAGAAGCCAUUACCAAAAGCCUUUGUAAAUGCGUCAGCCUCUCACCCACUUAGAGUCUCCUACAGUGGGCAGAAAAAGAAGAGGCUAAGCUUUUGGGCUGGUGUUUAUCAACUGGCACUCAACACCAUGAUUUAGGAAGAACAAGAAAUCUAGGUAAGAUUUCAUGGCAGGGCAUGAGGUGAGCUUUGGUGGGGGUGAUGUGGGUGUCUGAUUGAAUGGCUGAUUUUCUCUGUGUGUCUAUGUCUGUGAUAGAUCCCCUGGGAAAGGUCUUCUUCAUUGGUCCAAGCCACAGUCUGCCUGAUAUGCUGGGCAUGGAGUACACUAAAAGGCAAUGGAGUGAUGAUAUAGCUGUGCCCUUAUUCCUGACAACAUCUUCUGAGGAUGGCACUUUUCCCUUGAGGGUACUUGUGGGAGAGGGCUCAGGAUCCUAACCCUACUCAAACGGGGAGUGGAUUUUUGUUCUUUUCAUUGCUCUCAAGUACUAUGUAAUGUCAUUUAGGGCAGAUAGUGUGCCAAUCCUAGAGUCAGAAAGACUUGAAUUCAGAUCCAGCCUCAGACUCUUGCUAGUUGUGUGACCCUGGGCAAACUUCAUCUCCUUUGACUCAGUUUCCUCAUCUGUCAAACUGUAGAAGGAAAUGGCAAACCACUCCAGUAUCUUUGCCAAGAAAACUCCAAAUCAGGUUUCAAAGAAAUGAAUACACCCGAAAUAUCAAAAUAUCAGUUAUCACUUAAAAUUUCUUAGAAUGUUUGGCCACAUGAUCUGAUUCAUAGCAUUUUGGAGGAAGGGAAAUCUUUCUAUUUUAUACAGAAAAAAGUACUAUUGUUACUAUUGUAAUAAUGAUACUAUUAUAAUAAUGAUAAUAAUAAUAAGCUAGCAAAUAGUUCUCUCAGAGAAAUAAAGGACUUUGCUCUGGUUUUCUCAUUAGAAGAGGCAAGGAAGAGUAAAGAGGAAGUGUGGUACAUGUAAAAUGAGGGGUUUUCUAAAUCUUGGAUGAAAGACAAGGUCAGAUUUGAAUUCUAGUUUCACUACCCAGUAGUUCUAUGAAGUUCUGCAAAUCACCAGCUAGUUGUUGCCACAGACAGAGCCCUGGGUCUGAUUUCAAAUUUGGUCUUAAAUAACUGUGCAACCUGGGGCACAUCACUUAAACUGCACUUGCCUCAGUUUCCUCAUCUGUAAUAUGGGAAAAUAAUAGCACCUACCUUCCAAGGUU